rnacentral:lncRNA from 1 species
UUAAAAGCCCUGCUGAAAAAACAUGUAAACUAUAACAGCCACGAAAACACAUUGGACUUUUGAUACCAUCAAGGUAAAUUACAUACUAGCAAGAUUGUUGCUUGAAUGCAGGACCAGGCAUACAUAGAUGAGACAACGGAGAUGCUCAAAAUCCUGGUAGUUCUAGAUUUUUGGACUAUUGUCUUUAUUUUGCAAAUUUGGCUAGUGACAACCUUGUAAACCUUUGCUAACGUCUAACGUUACAUGUCAGCUUUCGAACAGAGUAGACUUUAAUGUGCACGUUCACUUUUUGAAUAUUUAUAUUCCUUCAAAGCUACCUAAAUGUGACUUAUCGGCUAGUACUGAAGCAGGACAUGUUUUUGAGUUCCGUUUUUAGCCCAAAGCCUUGUAUUUAAGCAAAACAACAACUUAAGAAGGGAACCAUGAAGAGGAGCUUGGAGUGGGCAAGGGGGAUGCUGAUAAAGCAGCAGAGAAGACCUGAUUCAUCAAGUAUCAAUUAAUUCUGGUGAUUCUCACCUGGUUGGCAUGCAUGCACAACAUGACAAGGUGUACAACAUUAAGCCCAAUCAAAUAUCCAAUGUUAUUCAAACAUGUAUCCCAAUUUACAGUCAAGCAACGUUUGUCAGCUGUGUUAAUGUUAUGAACUACAAACAAUCUAUGGUUCUUGGAGUCAAUGAAUCAAUUGAAAGGGACUACAAUUAGACAUUUUUAAACUGUGCCAGUAAAGAUGACAAAGUCAUCUGCUCUUAUGGUUAUGUUUACGUUUUUUCCAGACACUUCAAUCUGACACUCUUGUUAAUGUUUGACGUCAGGCAAAACAUCUUCAGCCACUGUAGGACGGAGAGCCGCUGGUUGGCAUUUGACUGCAGUGUCUGUGGGUGUACCAGGAAAGGACGUUAGAAGUUAGGUCCCUAUGAUAUCAAUGCUUCUUACCAUCUCCACUGCAGCCCAGUCGAUAUCAAUUUAAAAAAACUGGAACAAUAGAUAGUGUAGCACAAUGUACAACUCCAGUUUGCCUAUUGUCCCAACAAAUGUCAAUUAUACAUUUUUACAUACGUCAGAGUGCAUUUUAUUUUAUAGCUCUGCUUUCAACGCCAUCCUGACCCACAAACUGGUUUGCAGACUCAGGGCUCUGGGUGUAAAUCCUGUAAUAACAAAUUUCGAUUUUUUACAUUAUCAUAAGAAUGUGUAUCCCCAGAAUUGACGUGACACUACCAUGGUACACAUGAGUACAUGAAGGAGCUGUGGGACCCAACACUACCAUGGUACACAUGAGUACAUGAAGCAGCUCUGGGACCUGACACUACCAUGGUACACAUGAGUACAUGAAGGAGCUGUGGGACCCGACACUACCAUGGUACACAUGAGUACAUGAAGGAGCUGUGGGACCCGACACUACCAUGGUACACAUGAGUACAUGAAGGAGCUGUGGGACCUGACAUAAUGAUGAUAGGACAACAGUCUCAGCGUAAACAAAACAAAGUACAUGGUGAUACUUGACCAUUCUCCCAUCUACUGUACAUUGACAUGGAGAUGAUCAGCAGCUUCAAGUUCCUGGGCACCCUGAUAUCCUUUUCUGCCUUCAGUUACUUCACUCAAAGUCCCACUUGUGCUUCUCCACUACCCUCAAACUUGCUCCACCACGACCUAUGUACCAACUACAGUGUCUUUUAUUGCCAUUACACAUGUAAAUGAAAUGUACAUAUUUACGGUAGGAUUUAUUUAUGGUAACAUUGCACAUAUUGUAACAGUCCCUUGACAUACAUGACUUAACUAUGCAUAAUGCUCAGUUUACCCACUAAGAAAUCAUACAUUUAUUAAAUCUGCAUUAUUUAUUACUGUGUCCAAUUGAUUCUGGUUGGUUGUAAUGUUUUUGAAAACUUUCACUGCACAACUUUUUUUGCUGAUGGACAAUCCGGUCGGAAACUUUAAUAAUAUCAAUUCUUUUGGGACACAUCACCAAUUAACAUUGGCUGCAGUAUUCCGAACUUACUAGGUAGUCAUGCAAUAAACGUUUUGGAUAAUUCCCCUUAAAUGAAUUCUUUAAAUCAAAUUGAAUUUGUCACAUGCGCCAAAUACAACAGUGAAAUGCUUAUUUAAAAACCCUUAACCAAAAAUGCAGUUUAAAAAAAACGACAAAAAGAGUAAAUAAUUAAAGAGCAUCAGUAAAAUAACAAUAGCGAGGCUAUAUACUGUACAGGGGAUACCGGUACAGGGAAUGUUCGGGGGCACCGGUUAGUCAAGUUAAUAUAUAUAUAUGUAGGUAGAGAUAUUAAAGUGACUAUGCAUAGAUAGUAGCAGCAAAUAGUCUGGGUAGCCAUUUGAUUAGAUGUUCAGUAGUCUUAUGGCUUGGGGGUAGAAUCUGUUUAGAAGCCUCUUGGACAUAGACUUGGCGCUCCGGUACCACUUGCUGUGUGGUAGCAGAUAGAACUGUAGCUGUGGCUCCACUGGCAAUCCCAGCCUAGGAAUGCUGAAACCCCCGAAGUGAAAAUGAAAACCUUCUCCAUGGAGAAGGGUAUGUGUUCCCCCUGAAAAAAAGGGAAGGGGGGGUCAUUAAAGUCCAUAAGUAACACUUGUUGGAGAGCACAAUACUCUAAGUGAAGGUAGUUUGGGAUUUCAUUUAUCCAUUACAUUCUUAGGGGGACCAUGGAAGAAUAAGGCUAUAAAAUGCUGUCCCACAGUUGUGAGAGUGAUUAGGUGAUGUUUUACUGAUGUGGGCCGUGUUACUUCAAUGAUCAUGGUUUUGCAUCUAACCUUCCACCUCCAGAAGCCAGUCCCCCCAGAAACAUAUGACUCUUCUCUCUAUUGCUCUUUGAUUGGUACCAUGUGGAGAGCACUCUGCUUUGAAGAGAGAAGCUAUGUCUGGCCAAAAGAGGUUUCUCAGCGUAGAUGAAACACUCUCUGAAGAGGCUUCAGUGUCUAUUCAUGUAAGGCAGGAGACCUAGACACUCCAGACCUCUUUGAAUCUAUAAAGUAAAAAAAGUCAAUGAAUUAACCCUGAAGAAUUUAACUAAACUUGAGACUCACUACUCAAGAGCAUCCCAUAUCCUGCUUUCUAAGUAGAACUUUGUGGCUGACUCCACCAUGGCAUCCCUCUCCAAUGUACGAAUGUAUCGCACUGGACCCAACUCGACCGCUUCCUGUGCCUCGUCAACAGUUUGUGCUAACUGGAUCUUAAAUUGUUUGUUUAUUGAACAGUGUUUUGGGAAAAAUUAGCAAAAUAAACUGAUUAUCACUACCCUUAAAAAACAUUGACUGCCAACAAAAGGAAACCAAAUCCAUGUGGAAAAGUCUUCAUGAACAUCUACAACCCUAAUAUUUUUUUUCGAACUUAGUGCAAAUGAACAGUAACAUAGCAUCCAUCACAGUAUAAAGUACUUACCUUCUCCAACUUCUCUCUUAAGUUAUAUUCCACCAUUUCUUUCAUUUCUGGCACAGGAGGUUGUAGGCCAUAUACUUGCCUGUAUAGCCUCUGAAAAAAUGUGUCUUUACACCCCCAUGUACUAGACAGACAGCAAUCAUGUGGCCCACCUGCUUGUAUACGCCAUCAUAGAGUGCUGUCACACAGAAGACAAACAGUAAAUAAAGGACACAUUACAUACAAAAAUCAAAUGUCUUACUCAAGUCAUAUAUAUUGCCAUAAACAAACGUGUCUUUGUUGGUGUAAAAGUGUAACUCACCUUGAGAGUUGCAAGAAAGGCAUUUUUGCCAAUCAGGUCCCUCAAAUAUUGCAAAGGAAUGGAUGGCACUCAUUAGCAGCCAGAGAAAUUCUCUUGAGGGACCACCCUCAUCAGCUGCCCCUUUUCCGUCACCAUCCCUAAAAACCAUGUCUAUUUUUGCCUCCGGAUUAAAGCGGGCUCUCUUAAAGCCUCUCAUUGCACAAUCAUAAACGUUGUCCCUCAUCACGUUAAUUCGGUUGGCAUCUCAUUAACUUCAGCAGUGUUUGGAGGUCAACACUAAAAGAGACAUUCAGAAUAACAAAGCUCAGAUACUUCCCACAAUUCAUCUGUAAUAACAAGACAUUUAAUUGUUUACAGGGAUGACAUACUCAUUGUCAUCACCAACAUCAACAGAAGAGUGUGGUGAAGGUGGACGAUAAGCCUCAGGGAAUGGUGGAGGGGGGCCACAAGAAGUGGUGCAGAAGAUGGGGGGGCCACAGGAAUAGGUGCUGCCACAAGUGUAGCCUCGUUUGUAGAAGUAGUCUGUAAAAGGUCAUUUAAAGGCUUAUACAUUUCAAAAACAUGGAGAAAGGAAUAAAGCUGUCAAACAUAAUGUGAUUGCGUUCUGAAAACGAUUUACAGAAAUAAAAUGUAGCCGCAUGCAUCACUCACUAUAGAAUGUAAUCAAUGUGUAGGUCCAGAAGACUAUAGAAUGUAAUCAAUGUGUAGGUCCAGAAGACUAUAGAAUGUAAUCAAUGUGUAGGUCCAGAAGACGUUUUAAGGAUGCAUGUUGCUCUAUUUUUUAAAUAAUAUUUUCAAUAUGUAUUACAUUCAUCAAGCAGACAGUGUUGUUUUCUCCUCAAUGGUCCGUCCUAACUCUGGAGGGAACGCCAUAUCUGGAGACAGCAUUUAUGAAGCAAUCCAUUACAGUACUGCUGCGAUU